rnacentral:rRNA from 1 species
AGUGAACGCUGGCGGCGUGCCUAACACAUGCAAGUCGAGCGAAGUGGCAGUCCGCCGCAAGGCGGAUAUGUGCUUAGCGGCAGACGGGUGAGUAAUACGUAGAGAACCUUCCUUUUAGAGGGGGAUAGCUGGCCGAAAGGCUAGGUAAUACCCCGUACGAUCAAGAGUCGGCAUCGGCUUUUGAUGAAACAUCCGCAAGGAUGGCUGAAAGACGGCUCUGCGGCCUAUCAGCUAGUUGGUGAGGUAAUGGCUCACCAAGGCUACGACGGGUAACCGACCUGAAAGGGUGAACGGUCACACUGACACUGAGACACGGGUCAGACACCUACGGGUGGCAGCAGUGAGGAAUCUUGGGACAAUGGGGCAACCCUGAUCCAGCGACGCCGCGUGAAGGAUGAAGGUCUUCGGAUU